rnacentral:rRNA from 1 species
AUUGAACGCUGGCGGCAUGCUUUACACAUGCAAGUCGAGCGGCAGCGCGGGGGCAACCCUGGCGGCGAGCGGCGGACGGGUGAGUAAUGCAUCGGAACGUAUCCCGUAGUGGGGGACAACCCAGCGAAAGCUGGGCUAAUACCGCAUAUGCUCUACGGAGGAAAAGUGGGGGACCCGCAAGGGCCUCACGCUAUGGGAGCGGCCGAUGUCCGAUUAGCUAGUUGGUGGGGUAAAGGCCUACCAAGGCGACGAUCGGUAGCUGGUCUGAGAGGAUGAUCAGCCACACUGGGACUGAGACACGGCCCAGACUCCUACGGGAGGCAGCAGUGGGGAAUUUUGGGACAAUGGGGGCAACCCUGAUCCAGCCAUGCCGCGUGCGGGAAGAAGGCCUCGGUUGUAACGACUUGUUCGGUAG